AUUGAACGCUGGCGGCAGGCCUAACACAUGCAAGUCGAGCGGACGAAGGGAGCUUGCUCCUGGAUUCAGCGGCGGACGGGUGAGUAAUGCCUAGGAAUCUGCCUGGUAGUGGGGGAUAACGUCCGGAAACGGGCGCUAAUACCGCAUACGUCCUGAGGGAGAAAGUGGGGGAUCUUCGGACCUCACGCUAUCAGAUGGGCCUAGGUCGGAUUAGCUAGUUGGUGGGGUAAAGGCCUACCAAGGCGACGAUCCGUAACUGGUCUGAGAGGAUGAUCAGUCACACUGGAACUGAGACACGGUCCAGACUCCUACGGGAGGCAGCAGUGGGGAAUAUUGGACAAUGGGCGAAAGCCUGAUCCAGCCAUGCCGCGUGUGUGAAGAAGGUCUUCGGAUUGUAAAGCACUUUAAGUUGGGAGGAAGGGCAGUAAGUUAAUACCUUGCUGUUUUGACGUUACCAACAGAAUAAGCACCGGCUAACUUCGUG
rnacentral:rRNA from 1 species